rnacentral:rRNA from 1 species
ACAGAUUCGUUCAGAGUUUGAUCCUGGCUACAGGACAACGCUGGCGGCACGCUUAACACAUGCAAGUCGAACGGAGUUUUUUAACGGAAGUCUUCGGACGGAAGGUAAAAGACUUAGUGGCGGACGGGUGAGUAACACGUGAGUAAUCUGCCUUACAGAGGGGGGAUAACGUUCUGAAAAGAACGCUAAUACCGCAUAAGCCAACGAAAUCGCAUGGUUUAGUUGGAAAAGGAGCAAUCCGCUGUAAGAUGAGCUCGCGUCCGAUUAGCUAGUUGGCGGGGUAACAGCCCACCAAGGCGACGAUCGGUAGCCGGACUGAGAGGUUGGACGGCCACAUUGGGACUGAGACACGGCCCAG